rnacentral:lncRNA from 1 species
AAUGAAAACAAAAAUAUGCUUUUCUAAAGGACAGUGGACGAAGGAGCUGAGGGAGUAGAAGAGAGCAAUCGGGGGAAAAUUUUUUUUAAAAAAAUAUGUGGGAGCCAAUAACCAUCUGGGAUUCCCAGGAUGGGAUGUUUGAAAAUUAUCUCGGGAUUCUUGGGUUCUAAAAUUUUAUCUUGGGAUUCCCUGUUAAUGUUAAGACUCUUCGCACGAAAGAUGGAAUGCGUGUGUCUCAGGUCUCCAUCUUUCCAGCAAAUCACUGAUAAGUGCAAGCUCCAAUUUAGUCCCCCCAAGCAUAUGAGACAUGUGCAAGAAUCCGAUAAUCCGAUAAUCCAAGAAUCCCGCCUCUUGCAAGUGUUGUUCAAUAACACGCGAUGCCCUCACACUUAAAUUGUGUAUAUACGUCUCGGUAAUCUAGUCUUCGGUCUGAUUAUAUAAAUAUAAAAAAUUUUAAAAAUUAAUAAUGUUAACAACUUAAUAAUUAUAUUAAUUAAAAGAUAAUAUAAUAAUAUUUUAUUACCAUUUGUAAUUGAACAUCGGAAAUGUGUUGUCAUCCAAAUGAAUAAGAGGCAUUGACAUUUUUAAAAUUAUAAAAAAAAUCAAAUAAAAUCAAAGAAAUUAUAAAAUGAAUUUGAGAGAAAUUGAAUGAAAAAUCGAUAAUAAACUAGUAGAGAGAAUUGAGAGAAUUUGAUUGAGAGAAUUGAAAGAAUAGGAUUGAAAGAAGACAAAAGAAAAUAAGUAGGGUUUAUAUAGCAAAUGAAAUAGCUGUUGGAGGGUAAAAAAGAAAAUUAGUUUUUUGAUAUUUUAAUCAUUGAAAAUUUUUUUGACUGUUUCAUAUUUUUGAUUGUUGGAUAAAAUGAUUGUUGGAUGAAAACGUUUCUUGUUGGAAGUGUUUUCAGCUGAGGUAGCAAUCAAGGGUCGGAUGCGCUUUUAGCCCAUUAACUGUCACCUCAGUUGAAAAUGCCUCCUCUAGAAAGUAAUUUUUAUUUCUCUUUUCAAAAUCGAUCUAUUUUCCUAAAUUUUAGAAAAUCAAACUAAUUCUCACAUUAUCUUUUAAAAUUAACAUUUAUGCCUAAUUAACCCCUGCAACAAUAGUGUUAGUUUAGCUUUCUUUCCUUAGAUUUUUCUGUUUCCAAGUUUUAAUUUGUACUUUUUCCUAAUAAAAUUUCGAAAUCACCUAUCUCACAAGAAAAAAUGUCAACCCCAUCAUUUUCUAUUUAAAUUAUCAUGUCAACCAUCAUAUCAAUUACCAUAUUAUCAUAUAAUGGGUUGCCAAUGAUUUCAAAAAAAAUUAAUUUCAAAAGCUUAAUUCGAUUAAAAACCCAAUUGAUAAUAGUUUUGAUUAAAAAUUUAAUUGACUUUUUAAUUUUUACUUUUAUUAAGUCAAUGAAAUUUUCUUACUGGGAAUAUGUCUAGAAAACAACAACUACGGAUGAAUACUUGCCAAAAGAAAUAUUAGGGCUAUAUCUUGGGUCUUGUCACCGACAAAACACGUAAACUAUUCUCCUCCCCCCUUUAUGAACCGCUAAAUGCUUGUCUUGGGGUCAAAAACAACAUAAGCCCCAAUAGAUUCUAAUCCAGGAAUCAGGUAAAGACCCAACAACAAUAGAACCCUUCCACAUACCUAAACACCCAAAUUUCUCAAUGCCCUUCAAAGACCACAUUCCACCAAAAACAAUCGCCAUCGAAAAACAUGCUGUGUGCAUUUUAUUUUAAGAGGAUGUUUUUAGCUUUUAAUCUUUAGUAAGUGAAAUAAAAUGAGAGAAAAUGAGAAUCACUAGCAGCAGUAAAAUAGUUGUUGUUUUGUAGAUGAGUUUUUCUGAUUUUUGGAUAAUAAAAUCACAAUUAUCUCUCAAAUAGAAAACAAUAUUAGAAGCAAAGAAAUAAAUAAACAAAUAUUUUGUUUUUUAUGAUUUGAGUUUUAAUUAAGUUGACAUAAUUACUAUAAAAACAAUUAAGAUUAUAUUUUUUUCCUCCAAUUUAAGAGUUUGAAAGAAUUACGAUAAAAUUUGUCAUUGAAUUAAAAAAAAAACUCUUCCUUAACCAUAAAUUACUUGUUUACGUUGUUUCAUAGCAUUAGCAUAGCAAAGCAAUGAGAAAAAUAUAACUUCGUACCUCAACUGGGCAAAUUUCUUGGUUCAUUUAUUCUUGUGUUUGGGAUUUGAAGAGCAGAUAAAGAUUGUUUCACGUUUGCAUGAAAGGAAAGUGAACCGAAAGUUGGACACAAAUAUUCAUUUGAAUAUGAAACUCAAGUCAGUUUCCAGGAAAUCCAUUUCCUUGCGUUUUUCAAAACUUCUUAUUUGGUUUUUGAUGAAAUUAAAUUAAUCUUCCGUUAAGUUUGCAGUGUGAAUAGAUACGAUGAAAAUGGAUGAAAGAGCUGCAGUGCAAGCAGAGCUGAUAGCAGGAAAUGAACCCCCAAGAAAGCUCAUAUGCAAAUCUCGAACACCUUAAUCUGAAAUAUGACGCAAAUCACUAUGUUCACUGCAAAAUCAAAUCGCCAUUGUUUGCUUCUCUCUGCUUACUCAAUAGUCAUAUUUACAGCUAGCUUAAGGUUUCCAGAAUUUGGUGGGAGCUCCCUGAGGUUGAUUUUGCCUUCAGUUCUCCGCUUGCACUGCACCCCAUCCCUGAGACAAAGCGAGCAAACAUCGUUAGAUUUUUCCAGAAGCGAAUUAUUAUUGUUAAGCAAAGCAGGAAAAGCGAAAGGAAUUUUCCAAUAAGGAAAUGAAACUGUGAGGCUCAGCCCUUGUGGGAAACUUUCGAUGCAAUUUCCUUGCUUGCAAAAAUUGAGACACUCC